GACGAACGCUGGCGGCGUGCGUAACACAUGCAAGUCGAACGAGAGAGUGAGAGAAGCUUGCUUUUCUUAUGAUCGAGUGGCAAACGGGUGAGUAACGCGUAAACAACCUGCCCCGCAGAUGGGGACAACAGCUGGAAACGGCUGCUAAUACCGAAUACGGUCCUCUUAGCGCAUGGUAAGAGGAAGAAAGGGUGGCCUCUGGAACAAGCUACCGCUGUGGGAGGGGUUUGCGUCUGAUUAGCUGGUUGGAGGGGUAACGGCCCACCAAGGCGACGAUCAGUAGCCGGUCUGAGAGGAUGAACGGCCACAUUGGAACUGAGACACGGUCCAGACUCCUACGGGAGGCAGCAGUGGGGAAUCUUCCGCAAUGGGCGAAAGCCUGACGGAGCAACGCCGCGUGAGUGAAGACGGCCUUCGGGUUGUAAAGCUCUGUUAUAGGGGACGAACGGCCGGGUAGCGAAGAGGUA
rnacentral:rRNA from 1 species